rnacentral:rRNA from 1 species
AGAGUUUGAUCCUGGCUCAGGACGAACGCUGGCGGCGUGCUUAACACAUGCAAGUGGAGCGACGAACCAGGGCUUGCCCUGGGGCAGAGCCGCGAACGGGUGAGUAACACGUGGGUAACGUGCCCCAAUGAUCGGGACAACCCGGGGAAACCCGGGCUAAUACCGAAUGUGCUCCCCUCACACCAGUGAGGGAUGGAAAGGAAGCUUCGGCCUCCGCAUUGGGAUCGGCCCGCGGCCCAUUAGCUUGUUGGUGAGGUAACGGCUCACCAAGGCUGCGAUGGGUAGCUGGUCUGAGAGGACGAUCAGCCACACUGGGACUGAGACACGGCCCAGACUCCUACGGGAGGCAGCAGUGGGGAAUCUUGCGCAAUGCGCGAAAGCGUGACGCAGCAACGCCGCGUGGGGGAAGAAGGCCUUCGGGUUGUAAACCCCUUUCAGGAGGGACGAAGGUUGGGCGGUUAAUAGCCGGCCUGACUGACGGUACCUCCAGAAGAAGCCCCGGCUAACUACGUGCCAGCCGCCGCGGUAAUAC